CGGACGGGUGAGUAACACGUGGAUAACCUACCUAUAAGACUGGGAUAACUUCGGGAAACCGGAGCUAAUACCGGAUAAUAUAUUGAACCGCAUGGUUCAAUAGUGAAAGACGGUUUUGCUGUCACUUAUAGAUGGAUCCGCGCCGCAUUAGCUAGUUUGUAAGGUAACGGCUUACCAAGGCAACGAUGCGUAGCCGACCUGAGAGGGUGAUCGGCCACACUGGAACUGAGACACGGUCCAG
rnacentral:rRNA from 1 species